GAAGAGCAUGAUAAACUAACACUGAGAAUAUCAAAAGUUCAUCAAGUGCAGUAAGGUGUGAAAUGACAAACACAAUAAGUCCUGUGUUAUUGAUACUGUCAGUCCAAAUACAUUUGAAGAAAUGACCUGUAUGUCUGGGGACUUGGGUGGCAGGAUUCUGGGAGGAACAAGGCCCCUGGGAUUUGUCACUCCUACUGGGGCUUCUCCGAUUAAUCCCAAAAGCAAAAUUAAAAAGUACGCCUGGAAGAUGCUCCAUCCCUUUGUGAGUCCAAGCAAACAGAAAUGCUGUUUAAUGAAAUGUGACAGCUGCAUGAUAAAAGACACAGCUGUUGCCUCAUGGCUGAUAUUGAGGAGAUCACUUCUCCUUAAAGUGUUGCUUUACUUUUGUUAAUAUAUAUUUUUUUUGUUUCAGCAGGUGACCACCAAGUCUAUUGGAUCUGACUACAACAGUAAAUGUCCAGCAGAGGGAGACACACGCUGACAGAAGGGAAGUCACAGAUGGACUUUUUUACUGCAGCAUCCUCCUAAAUGAUGUGUAAAUCAGCACGCCAAGUUCAUUUCCUGCGCCCCAGUAACUUUCCAGGAAAAAAUGGUAAUUAGCUUGCCAUGCUGACUGGUGAAGGACCCAGACAACAGUUGCUGUAUCUCAGUGUCUCAGUCAUGCAGCCCUGGAGCUUCAGUGCUCACAUUCCUCUCGUCGGUCUCCCUAACUACUGCCUUUCUCAUAUUACAUUCUAGUAUCAAACUCCUGAUUGGUAUCACAGAUGUGUUUAGAAUGUUCCUUUAUUCGUUUUUGCCUGGAAAGCAUUUACAUUUUUUUCUGUUAACGAGUGUCAAAAAUGUAAUUACAUUUUGUACAAAAUAUAUAAAAUGAAACAACGUCCAAAGGGGAGCAAAUACUUUCGACAGGCACUUUGUCUGUGCUCAUGAUUAAACAUCAUUUACAGGUUGAUACAUUCGCUAAAAAGAGGGAGAGAUGCUCCAUGUCCAGUGUCCCUACGGGUCUAGACACAAACAGCUAGCAUGAUCCUGAAAAUACCCUGCUGAGUCACUCUACAAGGAGCUCUACUGAGUAAAGUACCUUUGAUUCAUAUCCAAAGUAGAAUUACAUCAGAACAUAAUAUAGGUAUUAUCCAACAGUAACUUUUAAUGGGUUAAUUAGAGCAAGACUGCAGGUGUAAAAGGAAACUUGUCUGUUUAACACCACAGAGGAUGAAAACCCAUAUUUAAGCAAAGGCCUAUUCACAGCGAGAAUUGUUACACAAGGGUCAUGUGCAUGAAGCAAAGUACUGCUAACUGCUAAAAAUGACAAUAGCUGGACGAAGACCAGGAUUGCUUAAAAUCGCUUGAGACGAAUUUACCACAAGUGACGCAGUUGUAUCUUCCAUUUGUUUUUUGUAACCAAGUCACUGCUUAAAUUAAUGCAGUAUGCGUGUGUGUAUAAAUAACUAAGUGCCUCAAUUAUAUAAAACCCUGCAGAAGUUUCACUUGACAUUUUUUCUGGCUGCUGUGUCAGAGUUUGGCCAUGUAUUAAUAAGAACAAACUGUUCAGAAAAAAAUGUAUAUCAAACAAUGAAAAGUCCUUUAUUGCCAUCAGAACAUGAGUGAGAAAACCAGAGACAAAAUCUGACAGAGUGAGGAGUCGACUGUACAACCAGCAUCUGCACGCACACACACACACACACACACACGCACGCACGCACGCACACACACACACACACACACACACAAAGCAGCCAGCAGUCUCUCAACAGGACAUGAGGGAUACAGAUACAUAAGGAAAUACAGUACUCACACAAUGAGGUAUAAAGGUAAACACAAACAUACCAGGGCUUCUUCCUCCACUCACACACAUGCAACUGAACCAAGGUACAAAUACUCAAGUGCUCGUUCAUUCUUUAAAAACACAACAUACAUGUGAGCAGAAAUGUAUAAGAGCAGCAACUGGGUCAUCUCGAUUCAACCACACUGCCAUUCAUCUGUCUCUCAAAACCUUUGGUCAUGUGGACGCUUGCUUGUCAUGCACAAUGUUGCCCUUGUAAUUUUAAUACUUUGUGAGACUCUGAAACUUGUGAGCGAAGGAAUGGGUCCCUUCCUGACUCGCAUCCACCGAUAGAAACUGGGACGUUCUGGGCAGAUGAGAAAUGUUUUUGAAGUCACAAAUAUUUUCUCGCUCUUCAAGGUAGAGUUUCUACGUUAGUUGGACAUUCAAUGUGUACAUUAGCAGCAAUUCUAGUGAAUGAAACAAUGGCUUUGUAAGUCAGAUUAAUAACACCCUUUCCUCAUGCACAGGACAGGCACCACCUACUACUCGUUAACUAAAUGCCAUGCAAGUUAGAAAAAUAGACUGCAAACUCACAAGACAGAGAAAUCAAAGUUCAUCUCCAGAGAAGAGGUUGAUUUCACUUCAGUUUUUUAUUUCAUAUUUUCUAAGAUGUGGAAAUAGCAACAAAAAAAACUUGAGAGCGGUAACCAAGACAACAGUAACAACAUGAGCAGAGAGCCACUGAGGUUUCGAGUCCCUCUCUUACUCUAUUUGCCAACCCAAACUGCCAGGUACAAGACAGACACUUGGCUUGUUUACAGUUUUCUGUUGCGGUCCUCUACUUUGCGCCACGCGGGCGACCACGUCGACUUACACGCACCUGGUGUGUAUGCCUAUUGUGUGUACCUGUAAGUGUGGGCCUGUGUGUCAUGUGGCUCUCAUGUCAUUUGAAGCUGUCCCAAUCCCACAGUCCGCAGUCUCCAGGCCCUCCCCCACUAGCAGCACCCGUCCCAGAAAGGUGGUCGCCCUCGUGUGCAUCCGGAGCUGCGUGCUGCAGUGCUUUAUCAAGACACUAGUGUGGCUGGAAGCUAGCACCGCCACCCCCUCCGAAACAGAGAAAGAGGCACGGUAUAGUUCUCUUUAAGUCUAAAUCUAUAGUUCAAGUCUGCCGUCUGUCUGGUCUCAGCUAGUUCUGUUUACAAGGCUGUACGGGUGCCACCCUGGACCCUCGAAAGACCUAAAACAGGUGAGAGGAGGAAGUGACACAUCACCUGACACCCCCUCAGUCCUGUUGAUAAAUAGAGAUGCCUCACUAUGCAUGACCCGCCCAGGGCUGCGUUGCAUUUCAUUACCUCACCCCUUCCAGUUUAGUUUUGUGGAUGCCAAAUAUCUCAACUGUGCACACACAAACACACGCAUACUUCCGCGCGCACUGACCCCCGACGCUGUCCAUUCUACUCGGAACGAGGACAAGCGCCUUGAAUUUCGUGUUUGGCACCAGACUUCUUUUUCCUCACGUUGGCCAGCCACUCCCUCUUUUACUGUAUCCUCUUUUCACUCAUUUCACUCAUCACUCCCUCACAGGUCUGUUCUUCUUGGAACCCCAAAAAAAAAAAAAAAAAAAAAAAAAAAAAAAACCUGGAAGAACACCGCUCCCUCUUUUCUGCCUCUCAGGAAACAAAUACAAACUUAAUGAAAAAACUCAAGUUUUUUUUAUUAUUUUUUUUUUUUCAAAUUCAAGGCACAAUGUCUAUCAAUAUUCCAAUCUGUCUGUCUGUCUGUCUGUCUUCACUCCCAGGUACAGUGUGCGAACAUCGCGUCACAUAAGCUAUUGGACUAUCUGCUUGUACGCAACUCCUUACAGCUUACAUCUCCCUCGUCUGUACUUUAACACUGUUAAGAGAAGCGUCUGUUUUGGUUGAGAGAGCGACCGCCAAGUCCAAACCAGUGAUAACCAAUGAACAAAAUUAACAUAACAAAAAACACAAAUAAAGACAACCGUUUCAAAAACAAAACAAAAAAAAAGUCUCGUCCUGUUUCUCGUAUUUCAGUAUUUUUAAAAAUCAAGUCAUAUCCACCAGCUCUUUUUUGGCAAGCUAGUUGUUUUUUUUAAAUAAGCACUAAGUAC